ACACCUCCACCUGCCACACACGGCAGACGAGAGCAGGUUUCGCGGGCUGAGCUCGACGUUGACCAGACGAAUACCUUGAUUUUCCGAGCUAUUUUUAGAGGCUUGUUCAGUGCGAGUGAUUUGGGUAGUUGGUCCGAGGUUGUGAGUUUUCCGGAAAAUUCCGUUUGUCUGAGAGGUAUAAAGCCAGAGCUGUGUGGGUUCCAGGAUAGUUCCAGCAGCAGUCAGUUUCUUAAACACUUUGUAAGGUGAGCAGUUGAGGGUUUUGACACACAACACAGUGGUCGGCACACAACACACUGGUCGACACACAACAAUGGCGGUGUGUCAGGAGAACACACCCGUGACACAGGACUGUUGUGGAGGCUUUACAGAAUUUAAACGCAGCACGUCGGGUUCUGUGAAAAAAAUUAAAGAAUUCCUCGCUGUAGACACGAUUCCUUCGAGACGGAGGUCAGCUUUGAGGGUGAAUCAGGUUUUCAAGCGCGCUUCUCCCACUGCAAGAAACACCCGGGGCACGGCGACUUCAUCCGUGUGGACAACCUUGACAUUGAGCACCUGCCAGAGAACUUCCGGGACAAGGACGUGCUGACCCUCAUCCGGGCACUGGCGGCUAUCACGGUCAGGGUGGAGACGGACUUCGUGAGCCCGGGCAGACCCCGCUUCUACCAAGACACGGACAUUCCGUAUCCGUUCCACAACGCGAUAGGUGACCGGAUGUUGCGGACCGGAAGUGGGCGUGUCCGGUACGUGACGGUUCCGGUCAACAAGAAGGACCAGCCCUGCCCAUGUCACGUGUGCAAGACUUCCGGUAAACCGAAGCGCAUGUGGUGUAAAGUGGGCGUGGUCACAGCCACCCACGUGGUGUAUGACGAGGAGGAGGCGAGGCACACCACGUGCCGAGUCGGCUUCAACAGCGACACCAGCCCCGCCGUGACCUUCGAGGGCAUGGGGGUCAGCGCCCACGGUGCUCACGUGGACGGCGACAGGUUUAACCUGUGCUGCGUCACGCACGACCUUGACCUGGCCAGGAAACUGUGGCUAGGUACAAGCAGCACUGCCUGAAGAUCAGCAAGAAGAUAGACUCUGUUAACCAUGACAACAGACUGGCCAUCGUCGUGUCCCACCCACACGGCUGCGCCAAGAAAGUGACCAUCGGCCGGUGGACGGAGAAGUUCCAGAUUGCCGGCACCGGCUACACGGUGUACCACUACACGGCAUGCACGUGCCCCGGUACCAGCGGCGCGCCGGUCUACAUCCUCGACCGGCGGACGUUCGGCUGGUGCAACCACCCGCACAGCGCCGCCAGGGUCAACUGCAGCGGGGUGGGGUACGCCUAGGGGUACCAGACCCCCGCCCCAUCUUCUCACAGAACCUCCUCCCCCCACACACACUCGUUGCAACCCUCUCAAUCACAUAGCUACAACCCUGCUGUCCUUUAAACCACAUAGCUACACCCCUCACUAGCACAUAGCUACAACUCUGCAACCCUAUCAACCACACAACUACACCCCUACAACCCAACCCUCUCAACACAUAGCUACACCCCAGCCACUCGUAGUUUGUGCCACAGUAAAACACCAUUUUUUAAAACGCUUGUCUAGUAAGACCAGAGCCAUUUUGUUUUAUUACAGUUUUAUUACAAUACUUGUAGCCCUAUUUGUAAUUAAUGUAAUUAUUUGCAAUGAUUUUUUAUGUCGCUUGUAUUUAU